AAAUGGCGUAAAGAGGAGGGAGUGCGGAGACGAGGGGACCUUCUCCUCUCCGGGGUGAAAGGAGGGAGAAGAAGGGGGCCCGGCGGCGUGUUUUUUCGGCUAAUUCUUCUGUAAAUGUUUCCUCACGUAGCGCGGUCACUCUCCUCAGAAUAAACCCGACAUACGUCCAGUUUGGGAGAAAUGUGUCACCGUAGAGGAAGAACCCCCCCCGGCUUUUGUUUACCAUUGUGAGCCGCAGCAGCUCGAACCCCGGAGGAAAUACCUCCGCAGCAGCCCGGACCAACACUCACACCAAGGAUGGCUUUUCCAGUGAGUGCAGUUGUUAAACCAGCCGAAGCCCAACCUGGAGGACCAUCGCCCUUCACAUCAGCCCCAGCACCAUCGACUGAUCACCUCAUCGGCCACCCAGACAUGUGGAGGUAAAGGAUGAAGAGUCACUGGGAAGAUGGCCUCUUCUGGGCUUUUGGGACACGGGUGCCCUCCUUCCUGUUGUUACUGGGACACUGGCUCUCUCUUCUCCACUCCACAUUCCCUGUCCUGGCCUGUUUCUGCACCGUUAUCACCAGUCAGGACGUCUGACUUCCAUCACACACACUCUGACUACGUCUACAUGUAGCUAAACGCCGGCCUUGCAGUCUGAGUUUCGGCUCUAAGUGUAAAGGCCCGAAAGUCUCCAUCAUUUGGGCAUUUUCAGACAGAUUUGUCAUCAGGCUGCAUGUAAACGUAGUCACUGAUGCCUCCAGAAAAAGUAAAAACAAAAAACCUCCCCACAUGCUCUGUAAUCAGAUCAAAGCAGUUUGAUAAUGAACAAACUGCGUUGUUUCCCGGGAAGAAAGCAAAGACACAAGAUACUGUAGCGAAGAUCAAGGCCUGUGAUUAAAUUAGACUCAUAGGGUGUUUUUUUGUUUGUUUUGUGCACUACCUCAUCACCAUAACAAGUCCAACAGGAGUGAAUGAUCAGUACAAGUAGCUUAAUGGUUGUCAAGCGCCACAGCGGUCUUUUAUGUUGUCCCUGGAUUCAUUUAGAGGGUAAAUAAGUGAGGUCGUUGACAGGCGAACAGGAGAAGGCCGAGCAGCCCAGAAGCACGUGAAAUUUAAUUUCAGUUCAACCAUUUUGAGGAAAACUCGCUCAAACUAGGAAAACGUUGGCUCGCUCAAAGUGCGGUCCCCUAUGUAUCUGCUCUAAUGGAAACUCAUGAGAAAGUGUUUUUACCUCAUGCUCUAAUUUGCAUUUCGGUGCUCUCCUUUAGUCAAGUCUGCAGGUGUAUUCACAAAUUGAGGGUAGAGGCAGAAUUUGCAAUGUUCCCCUUGUAACUUAAUCCCUGAAAAUCCUAAAACUUGCCAAUUUGCAGUAUUCUAAGUUAGUCUUUUAUUAUGAAAAUAUAAUCCAAUUUACUCCCUUAUAUUUUAAAAUUUUGUCUUUCUUUCCGCCACUUGAUGUACUUUAAUUUUGUCUUUCUCUGUGUAUGUGCUAUUUUUUGUCCUUUUCCCCUCUUAACAAGAAUAUAAGAGACAUAUAAACAGGAAAUUGUUAACAUGCUGCAGGUAGAGACAGAAUUGACCAUUCAAUCCCUUUUGUGCCAUGAACCACGAUGCGAAAUAAUCCAAAAAAUCAGUGAAAUCUGGUUUAUCAAACGUUGUUUUUUGUCUCUACCUGUGUCCCGUAAACGUAGCGAUACUAGUGCUGAAAUUGCAGCUCCUUUGUUACAAGAUUACGCUGGAUUUUUCCUCACCUGGAGGAAACCCUGGUCUCAUUUCUUCAACUUUCCUUUUUUGUUCAUUUUUUUAUGAAAAAAGAAAAUCACAUUUUACCGGGAUUUGUGCAAUAUUUGAUCUUAACUGUCAUGUUGUUGACCAAACUGUAUAUUGUAUAAACAAGUGACAAGUUGUUUGAAAGCAACAAAAUCACCAAUGUCUUCCAUUAAGAUAUGUAUAGACUCAUGCGCAUUAGCUUAUUUAGCGGGACUGCGGUGCCAACAUUAUAGUAGCCAUGCAUGACCAGUAGUGAUGCUUGCUUCAUGAAGAAUAGUGGAAUCAGUUUCUAGACUAAGCCGGAGCUCAAAAACUGCAGAAACCAUUUCAGUGAAAUUAGAGGGUGGUAGAUUGACAUACUGCACCUUUAAAUACACCCCGUUUAGAUGCAGCUUUGCCCUAAAAUCUUAGAUUAAUGCAAGAUCUUCUUUUUAUUCCAUGUCUUGGAUGUCAAAUAAGUCGUGUAGUAAAAGUAACAUUAAACACAAUCAGGGUAUGCAGUUAAGUAUUGAUUCAAGUUUAUUGAGGCUUAUAUGCUCAGAAUAAGUAAGUGCUUUUUAUCAGAACUGCGGUAGGAUUCAUAUCUUUAAAAAAUAUGCUUAAGAUAUGUCUUAAAUCAACACAUUUACCAGAGUUAUGUUGGCAGUAUAUGUUUCUGCAGACCAUGGAUAUGUUGCAUUUUCAAUUUAUAAUGUAGCGGUUACAUAGACUCUUUACAUUUUAACAAGCUGCGGUCAACAUGGAUUGGUUUGGGGUUGAAAAAGCAGAUCAAAACAGACUGGUUGCUACGAAACACCCAUGUUUGGGGCCCAAAACACCUGUGGAAACCCACAACGGGGUGUUAAAAAACAACUUCGAUUGGGGCCUAAAAAGCCGAUGAAAACACACUGACAUGUCGCUACAAAACACCCACAUUUUUAGUCUAAAAAGCUGCUAAAACACAAAUGUUUUUGUUGUUUGUUAGUCUCAAAAAGAGGUCAACAGCUUGCCAAGUGUGUCGUCAAGGUGACACACCGUUCAUAGUCCCCUUAUAUAAUAUGUCUCUUUAGAAAUGUUGAUACAAUACAUAUGAAACUGUUACAUAUUCGUGGUUUGUAGAAACAUGCUAACAUUUUCUUCUGGUGACUGAGCUGCAUAAAUUGUAUUCAAGCACUCUUAAGCAUCAGAAGAAUUAGGUAGCUAUUAUGCAACAGCCAAAAGUCUCCCAAAAACGAGUCGUUUAUGACAAUGACAAAAAACCUUUAGAGAAAUGUUACAAUAAAAAGUAGCGCUUUAAUCUUAGAUCUGGAUAUAAUUGGUAGGGAUCCAAUGUAGCGUUUUAGUCCUAGAAUUAAGAUCUCACCAUGACAUUGUAUUGUACAUAAUACCUCAUAGUUUUGGGAUUCAGAGCGAGAUAUUUUAAUCCAUAAAAUUGUAUUUGAUUAUAGUUUUAGAAGCAAUAAUCUACAAUAAUGCAUGAGUUUAGUGCCAGGGUGUACGUGUUAAAAGGAGUCUGUAAUGUCACGUGGAAAGAGUUCCUCACCCUCUCUUUAAUGCCUACAGUAGCUGUGUUAGUCAACUUUUUUUUAGGAGUUGUAUAAUAUUUGGCUUUAGAAUACAGUAUCACUUAUGAAGGUUACUUCUUGCAGAACAAAGAAUACGUGAGAACAGUUGUAGCACCAUGAUAUUACACGGACAAAUUCAAUAUUUUUCCCUGCCUUUUGUUCUUUCAACGCCAAAACAAUAAACCGAUUGGUACAUGAGAGAUGCUUUAGAUUUGAACUCUUGUAGCAUUUUUACAUCCUCAAAACCCACCCCUCCCUUUAGAAAUAUAGACUUUCAGUACCUCUGUGGCUGCAAAGGACUUACUGAAUGAACUUGACACUUGUUUGAAAAGCACUUUUUCUCUCUAUGUACUGACUUGCACUGUCAUCAUCACCAUCCUGUCUUGAAUACUGUGUUCUAAAAACCCUGUAAUGCUCUUUGUGGGGAUUUAUAAUCACAAUUUAUAAACAAGUAAGCGUCUAGCGACAAGAAUAUAUGGGUUUAAAAAAUAUGCAUGACUUAGCAGAAUGAUUUGUAUUGCAUGCAAUAAUCCAACUUUGUAAUGUGAAUGAGUGUAAUUAGGCUAUUGAAAUGUUCGGAUGUUCUGUGACACAGUGACAACAUGGGACGGUUAUUUGACACAACAGGGAGCAUGUUAAAGUAAGUAGCUUGGAUCACAAAAAAACAAAAAAAAAGGAAUUAGCUGAGAGUAGUUAUUAGUGUUUCUGCUCUCACUCUGUGUUGUGUCAAACAUGACCGUGGCAGUAGAGCCACAGUGCAGCUGAAAAACACUGAUCAGCCUUUGUUCCCAUGAAAAAAACAAAACAAAAGCUUAGGUUAAAUGAUUAAUGACAUUACUUUGUUGAUCAACUUUUCCACUGAGGAGGUGGACUGUGUAGAAACUAUGCACUCCAGAGGGAGGAAAUGGGCAUGCUUAUUAUGUGUGAGCCUCUUGUCUGGUUUUGUAUUAACUAAAGAAAAAAAAAGAGAAUCUGUAUCAGAAAUUCAGCAAUAAAAUGCAGCAUGGUGCCAAUUGGA